AUGGUAUAAUUAGACCGCAUGGUCUUGUUAUUAAAGAAUUUCGGUUAUCGAUGGGGAUGCGUUCCAUUAGGCAGUUGGUGAGGUAACGGCUCACCGAACCUUCGAUGGAUAGGGGUUCUGAGAGGAAGGUCCCCCACAUUGGAACUGAGACACGGUCCAAACUCCUACGGGAGGCAGCAGUGAGGAAUAUUGGUCAAUGGACGGGAGUCUGAACCAGCCAAGUAGCGUGAAGGAUGACUGCCCUAUGGGUUGUAAACUUCUUUUAUAUGGGAAUAAAGUUUUCCACGUGUGGAAUUUUGUAUGUACCAUAUGAAUAAGGAUCGGCUAACUCCGUGCCAGCAGCCGCGGUAAUACGGAGGAUCCGAGCGUUAUCCGGAUUUAUUGGGUUUAAAGGGAGCGUAGGUGGACAGUUAAGUCAGUUGUGAAGUUUGCGGCUCAACCGUAAAAUUGCAGUUGAUACUGGCUGUCUUGAGUACAGUAGAGGUGGGCGGAAUUCGUGGUGUAGCGGUGAAAUGCUUAGAUAUCACGAAGAACUCCGAUUGCGAAGGCAGCUCACUGGAC
rnacentral:rRNA from 1 species